UACGGAGGGUGCAAACGUUGCUCGGAAUCAUUGGGCGUAAAGCGCACGUAGGUGGUUUGUUAAGUCGGGUGUGAAAGCCCUGGGCUCAACCCAGGAAGUGCACUCGAAACUGGCAGACUUGAGUACUGAAGAGGGUCGCGGAAUUCCCGGUGUAGAGGUGAAAUUCGUAGAUAUCGGGAGGAACACCAGUGGCGAAGGCGGCGACCUGGGCAGAUACUGACGCUGAGGAGCGAAAGCCAGGGGAGCAAACGGG
rnacentral:rRNA from 1 species